rnacentral:tRNA from 1 species
GGAUUGUGGCUCAGCGGUGGAGUGCUCGCGUAGCACGGGCGGGACCUGGGUUCGAUCCUCAGCACCA